UAGUUGCCUGAAAAGCUUAGCAGAAUUUUGCUCCUCAAAAGAACUCACAGAAACACAGAAAGGCCCAGGGGGAGUCUUUUGCUGCUGGAAACAACUCUGCCUGGGACCCAGAAUCCAGAAAUGGGUGUCCCUGACCCAGGCAGGCAGAGAGAGGGAUUUUCACCAGUGCAAAUGCAAGAGGAAUGUUGGGAACACAGCUUGGCUAAAGGUAAGGGAAAGGUAAGGAAAGUAUUGUCCAGCACCUGCUAUGUUCUGGAUGCUGUACUUUGCAGAGAGAUAGUCUCAUGUAACCCUCACAACACCCCUAGGAGUUGAGCAUUGUUGUUAUUUCCAUUUU
rnacentral:lncRNA from 1 species